AUUUGUAACACAGACCAAAUAGACUCUCCCCCAAAUUUGUGUGACAUCUGCUCUCCUGCGAAACUAACCAGCAAACCACAAGUAUGGGUCGCAAAAGAGAAAACUCUUUUAGGAUGUAAUGUACCAAAG